GACUAUGUGGCCUAAUGGAUAAGGCGCUGGUCUAUGGAACCAGAGAUUUUGGGUUUGAUCCCCAACAUAGUCG